rnacentral:rRNA from 1 species
GUAGGUGGCGAGCGUUAUCCGGAAUGAUUGGGCGUAAAGGGUGCGUAGGCGGCCCGUUAAGUCUGGAGUCAAAGCCGGCAGCUCAACUGUCGUACGCUUUGGAAACUGGCGGGCUGGAGUGCAGAAGAGGGCGAUGGAACUCCAUGUGUAGCGGUAAAAUGCGUAGAUAUAUGGAAGAACACCAGUGGCGAAGACGGUCGCCUGGUCUGCAACUGACGCUGAAGCACGAAAGCGUGGGGAGCAAAUAGGAUUAGAUACCCUAGUAGUCCACGCCGUAAACGAUGAGAACUAAGUGUUGGGGGAAUAACUCAGUGCUGCAGUUAACGCAAUAAGUUCUCCGCCUGGGGAGUAUGCACGCAAGUGUGAAACUCAAAGGAA